rnacentral:rRNA from 1 species
AUUGAACGCUGGCGGCAGGCCUAACACAUGCAAGUCGAACGCGUGGCGGACGGGUGAGUAAUGUCGGGGAAACUGCUUGAUGGCUGGGGCUAACUCCUGGAAACGGUGGCUAUACCGGAAUAACAUUGGAUGUGACCAGAUGGGAUUAGCUAGUAGGUGGGGUAAAGGCUCACCUAGGCGACGAUCCAUAGCUGGUCUGAGAGGAUGAUCAGCCACACUGGAACUGAGACACGGUCCAGACUCCGACGGGAGGCAGCAGUAGGGAAUGUUGCGCAAUGGGCGAAAGCCUGAUGCAGCAAUGCCGCGUGUAUGAAGAAGGCCUUCGGGUUGUAAAGGACUUUCAGCAGGGAGGCGUUAACCGCAGAAGAAGCCACGGCUAACUCCGUGCCAGCAGCCGCGGUAAUAC